GGAAGUUGCUCCCAGGGUACUGAGGAUGCAAUCUGCAACAUGUACAUGUCCACCAAACCAGUGACGGCUAUCCACCUGAAAUGAGAUUCAGAGCCAGUUCGGCAGGGACCGCAGCGCAGAGCGGAUCCCUCUCCUCUCUCCAGCUCGCUCGCGCCUCGCCCGGCUUGCUCUGCAACCGUGUCUGCCAAACCCGAUGUGGCUGAGAUCGAGAGAUUCGAGGAGUCGAAAUGGAAGAAGACAGGAACGCAAGAGAAAAAUCCGCUGCCCUCGAAAGAAGCGACUGAACCGGAGAAGCAAGCAGGACCACCGCAGUGAGGCUGCGCCAACCGCACAUCCACACAGAGAGAGAGAGAGAGAGAGAGAGAGGCAGAGACCCAGUUAGAGGGAGAAGC